rnacentral:rRNA from 1 species
GUGAACGCUGGCGGUCGGCCUAACACAUGCAAGUCGAACGGCAGCACAGUAAGAGCUUGCUCUUACGGGUGGCGAGUGGCGGACGGGUGAGGAAUACAUCGGAAUCUACUUUUUCGUGGGGGAUAACGUAGGGAAACUUACGCUAAUACCGCAUACGACCUACGGGUGAAAGCAGGGGAUCUUCGGACCUUGCGCGAUUGAAUGAGCCGAUGUCGGAUUAGCUAGUUGGCGGGGUAAAGGCCCACCAAGGCGACGAUCCGUAGCUGGUCUGAGAGGAUGAUCAGCCACACUGGAACUGAGACACGGUCCAGACUCCUACGGGAGGCAGCAGUGGGGAAUAUUGGACAAUGGGCCCAAUCCUGAUCCAGCCAUACCGCGUGGGUGAAGAAGGCCUUCGGGUUGUAAAGCCCUUUUGUUGGGAAAGAAAAGCAGCAGGUUAAUACCCCGCUGUUCUGACGGUACCCAAAGAAUAAGCACCGGCUAACUUCGUG